GAUGAACGCUGGCGGCGUGCCUAAUACAUGCAAGUCGAGCGAACAAACGAGGCUUUCGCUUCUUUGACGUUAGGGGCGGAUGGGUGAGUAAUACGUAGCUAACCUAUCUAUAAGACUGGCAUAACUUCGGGAAACCGGAUCCAACAUCGGACAAGAUUGCGAACCGGAUGGUUCUUUAGUGAAAGAUGGCUUUGCUAACACUUAUUCAUGGUACUGCGCCGGAUUAGCUAGUUGGUAGGGUAACGGCCUACCAAGGCUACGAUGCGUAGCCGAUCUGAGAGGAUGAUCGGCCACACUGGAACUGAGACACGGUCCAGACUCCUACGGGAGGCAGCAGUAGGGAAUCUUCCGCAAUGGGCGAAAGCCUGACGGAGCAACGCCGCGUGAGUGAUGAAGGUCUUCGGAUCGUAAAACUCUUUUAGUAGGGAAGAACAGAAGUGUGAGUAAAUGUGGACGUCUUGACGGUACCUAAUCAGAAAGCCACGGCUAACUACGUG
rnacentral:rRNA from 1 species